ACACUUUAAACUCAAAGGAAUUGACGGACCACGUGUGGCUUAUUGCAGGUACCGUAUGAAUAAGGACCGGCUAAUUCCGUGCCAGCAGCCGCGGUAAUACGGAAGGUCCGGGCGUUAUCCGGAUUUAUUGGGUUUAAAGGGAGCGUAGGCCGUCUGUUAAGCGUGUUGUGAAAUGUCGGGGCUCAACCUGGGCAUUGCAGCGCGAACUGGCAGACUUGAGUGCGCAGGAAGUAGGCGGAAUUCGUCGUGUAGCGGUGAAAUGCUUAGAUAUGACGAAGAACUCCGAUUGCGAAGGCAGCCUGCUGUAGCGUAACUGACGCUGAAGCUCGAAAGCGUGGGUAUCGAACAGGAUUAGAUACCCUGGUAGUCCACGCGGUAAACGAUGGAUGCUCGCUGUUUGCGUCUGACGUAAGCGGCCAAGCGAAAGCGUUAAGCAUCCCACCUGGGGAGUACGCCGGCAACGGUGAAACUCAAAGGAAUUGACG
rnacentral:rRNA from 1 species